UUCCGCAAUGGACGCAAGUCUGACGGAGCGACGCCGCGUGUAGGAAGAAGUCCCUCGGGAUGUAAACUACUGUCAGGGGCGAGGAACACAAUGACCAGCCCCAGAGGAAGCCACGGCUAACUCCGUGCCAGCAGCCGCGGUAAUACGGAGGUGGCAAGCGUUGUUCGGAAUCACUGGGCUUAAAGGGCGUGUAGGCGGAGCGCAAGGUGUCGGGUGAAAUCCCCGGGCUCAACCCGGGAACUGCCCGGCAUACCGGCGCUCUCGAGGCAGGUAGAGGCGACUGGAACGACGGGUGGAGCGGUGAAAUGCGUAGAUAUCCGUUGGAACGCCGGUGGCGAAAGCGGGUCGCUGGGCCUGUCCUGACGCCGAGACGCGAAAGCGUGGGUAGUAAACAGGAUUAGAUACCCUGGUAGUCCACGCCGUAAACGAUGCGCACUGGGUAUGAGGAGCUCUCACGCUCCUUGUGCCGAAGUAAAAACGGUUAGUGCGCCGCCUGGGGAGUACGGCCGCAAGGCUA
rnacentral:rRNA from 1 species